GGAGAUUUAGCUCAGUGGUAGAGCGCUUGCAUAGCAAGCACAAGGCCCUGGGUUCGGCCCCCAGCUCUCCA
rfam:Rattus norvegicus chromosome 4, whole genome shotgun sequence.